rnacentral:rRNA from 1 species
AAAGGGUGCGUAGGCGGCCUGUUAAGUCAGAGGUGAAAGACGGUAGCUCAACUAUCGCAGUGCCUUUGAUACUGAUGGGCUUGAAUGGACUAGAGGUAGGCGGAAUGAGACAAGUAGCGGUGAAAUGCAUAGAUAUGUCUCAGAACACCGAUUGCGAAGGCAGCUUACUAUGGUUUUAUUGACGCUGAGGCACGAAAGCGUGGGGAUCAAACAGGAUUACAUACCCGAGU